GACGGAGGGUGCAAGCGUUGUUCGGAAUUAUUGGGCGUAAAGAGCGUGUAGGCGGCCAGAUAAGUCCGCUGUGAAAUCUCGAGGCUCAACUUCGAGCUGUCGGUGGAAACUAUCUGGCUAGAGUCCGGAAGAGGAGAAUGGAAUUCCUGGUGUAGCGGUGAAAUGCGCAGAUAUCAGGAAGAACACCCGUGGCGAAGGCGGUUCUCUGGGACGGUACUGACGCUGAGACGCGAAAGCGUGGGGAGCGAACAGG
rnacentral:rRNA from 1 species